rnacentral:rRNA from 1 species
AUUGAACGCUGGCGGCAGGCCUAACACAUGCAAGUCGAGCGGAUGAAGGGAGCUUGCUCCUGGAUUCAGCGGCGGACGGGUGAGUAAUGCCUAGGAAUCUGCCUGGUAGUGGGGGAUAACGUCCGGAAACGGGCGCUAAUACCGCAUACGUCCUGAGGGAGAAAGUGGGGGAUCUUCGGACCUCACGCUCUCAGAUGAGCCUAGGUCGGAUUAGCUAGUUGGUGGGGUAAAGGCCUACCAAGGCGACGAUCCGUAACUGGUCUGAGAGGAUGAUCAGUCACACUGGAACUGAGACACGGACCAGACUCCUACGGGAGGCAGCAGUGGGGAAUAGUGGACAAUGGGCGAAAGCCUGAUCCAGCCAUGCCGCGUGUGUGAAGAAGGUCUUCGGAUUGUAAAGCACUUUAAGGGGGGAGGAAGGGCAGUAAGUUAAGACCUUGCUGUUUUGACGUUACCAACAGAAUAAGCACCGGCUAACUUCGUG